rnacentral:rRNA from 1 species
UAACACAUGCAAGUCGAGCGGAUGAGAGGAGCUUGCUCCUCGAUUCAGCGGCGGACGGGUGAGUAAUGCCUAGGAAUCUGCCUAGUAGUGGGGGACAACGUUUCGAAAGGAACGCUAAUACCGCAUACGUCCUACGGGAGAAAGUGGGGGAUCUUCGGACCUCACGCUAUUAGAUGAGCCUAGGUCGGAUUAGCUAGUUGGUAGGGUAAAGGCCUACCAAGGCGACGAUCCGUAACUGGUCUGAGAGGAUGAUCAGUCACACUGGAACUGAGACACGGUCCAGACUCCUACGGGAGGCAGCAGUGGGGAAUAUUGGACAAUGGGCGAAAGCCUGAUCCAGCCAUGCCGCGUGUGUGAAGAAGGCCUUCGGGUCGUAAAGCACUUUAAGUUGGGAGGAAGGGCUCAUAGCGAAUACCUGUGAGUUUUGACGUUACCAACAGAAUAAGCACCGGCUAACUUCGUGCCAGCAGCCGCGGUAAUACGAAGGGUGCAAGCGUUAAUCGGAAUUACUGGGCGUAAAGCGCGCGUAGGUGGCUUGAUAAGUUGGAUGUGAAAUCCCCGGGCUCAACCUGGGAACUGCAUCCAAAACUGUCUGGCUAGAGUGCGGUAGAGGGUAGUGGAAUUUCCAGUGUAGCGGUGAAAUGCGUAGAUAUUGGAAGGAACACCAGUGGCGAAGGCGACUACCUGGACUGACACUGACACUGA